rnacentral:lncRNA from 1 species
UUUGAUUCAGUGCGACUCUUAUUCAAGAUUUCUUGCUCUGCUGGAGUACCUGUAUAUGCCAUGUAUGAUGUUAUCAUGAUAUGCACAUGUUUGUCUUAAAUGCUUUUAUGCCUACAUGAUUAUGCAGUGCUCCUUAAGCAUGUUUGUCGUAUGUCCAUUUAGCCACGAUUGUUGAGGAUCUGUGUUCAUUGCUUUGAUUCUCGACUUUCUCUUCAGUCCUUAUACCUGUCUUCAAGCUUCACGAGUAAUCGACGUUUCUCAGAUAUCACUCUUCUGCCCCCGAUUGAACUUUGUUCUUACUUUGAGACUCUUGUGCUUAUCAAAUUUUCAUCCAGGUAAUGCUUAAC